ensembl:lncRNA
GAGGAAGGUACUGCAGGAGUACUAGUGGUAUUAUGCUGCAGGAGAUGAGGGUACUACAGUAGUACUAGUGGUAUUAUGCUGCAGGAGAUGAGGGUACUACAGUAGUACUAGUGGUAUUAUGCUGCAGGAGAGGAAGGUACUGCAGGAGUACUAGUGGUAUUAUGCUGCAGGAGAAGAGGGUACUGCAGUAGUACUAGUGGUAUUAUCCUGCAGGAGAUGAGGGUAGUACUAGUGGUAUUAUGCUGCAGGAGAGGAAGGUACUGCAGUAGUACUAGUGGUAUUACGAUGCACAAGAGGAAGGUACUGCAGUAGUACUAGUGGUAUUACGAUGCACGAGAGGAAGGUACUGCAGUAGUACUAGUAGUAUUGUGAUGCAGGAGAGGAGGGUGUUUUAGUAGUACUAGUGGUAUUACGAUGCACGAGAUGAGGGUACUGCAGUAGUACUAGUGGUAUUACGAUGCACGAGAUGAGGGUACUGCAGUAGUACUAGUGGUAUUGUGAUGCAG